UACGUAGGGGGCAAGCGUUGUUCGGAAUUACUGGGCGUAAAGGGCGCGUAGGCGGCCUUCUAAGUCAGACGUGAAAUCCCCCGGCUUAACCUGGGAACUGCGUCUGAUACUGGGAGGCUUGAGUAUGGGAGAGGGAUGUAGAAUUCCAGGUGUAGCGGUGAAAUGCGUAGAUAUCUGGAGGAAUACCGGUGGCGAAGGCGGCAUCCUGGACCAUAACUGACGCUGAGGCGCGAAAGCUAGGGGAGCAAACGGG
rnacentral:rRNA from 1 species